rnacentral:snRNA from 1 species
GGAUAUCGUCGACCAAGAAU